GAUGAACGCUGGCGGCGUGCCUAAUACAUGCAAGUCGAGCGAACAGAUGAGGAGCUUGCUCCUCUGACGUUAGCGGCGGACGGGUGAGUAACACGUGGAUAACCUACCUAUAAGACUGGGAUAACUUCGGGAAACCGGAGCUAAUACCGGAUAAUAUAUUGAACCGCAUGGUUCAAUAGUGAAAGACGGUUUUGCUGUCACUUAUAGAUGGAUCCGCGCCGCAUUAGCUAGUUGGUAAGGUAACGGCUUACCAAGGCAACGAUGCGUAGCCGACCUGAGAGGGUGAUUGGCCACACUUGAACUGAGACACGGGCCAGACUCCUACGGGAGGGAGGCGUUGGGAAUUUUUCGCCAUGGGGGGAAACCUGACGGGGCAAACCCGCGUGGGGGAAGAAGGUCUUCGGAUUGUAAAACCCUUUUUUUUGGGAAGAAAAAAAGUUUAAGGAAACAUUGCCGUUUUGACGGUACCCAAAUAAAAAGCCCCGGCUAACUUCGUG
rnacentral:rRNA from 1 species